GACUUUCCAGUGGCCUAAGUGGUCAGAGCAUCUGCCUUAAAUGUGGAAGGUUGUGGGUUAAAACCCUGGUUAAGUCA